rnacentral:rRNA from 1 species
UACGAAGGGGGCUAGCGUUGUUCGGAAUCACUGGGCGUAAAGGGCGCGUAGGCGGCUUUAUAAGUCGGGGGUGAAAGCCUGUGGCUCAACCACAGAAUUGCCUUCGAUACUGUAGAGCUUGAGACCGGAAGAGGUAAGUGGAACUGCGAGUGUAGAGGUGAAAUUCGUAGAUAUUCGCAAGAACACCAGUGGCGAAGGCGGACUUACUGGUCCGGUUCUGACGCUGAGGCGCGAAAGCGUGGGGAGCAAACAGGG